CCGCUAGCAAACAGCCCCACUGUAGAGACAGCAGUGGCUACAAUUGCUGUGUAAAUUUGCAUCUCCAGAACCACGGAAAAAGUUUCUUUCUUUAGAACCUUUUGGAAUGAAAGCUGCAUAAGGGAAAGCAAUAGAGCAUACAUAGCUGAAGCGGCGAGAGUAACUAGAAAUCCAAUGACAUAUUUAGACUUAGUUACGCCUGGAGGCUUAUCAGAAUCUUCAUUAACAGCAAGAAGAGAGGCAGAUAAUGAGAGCACGACAACAGAAUUCAUGAUCAGUGCUGUGAACUUUUGAUGGUUUAGGAAGUAAGAAAUAACUGCACUGAAAACCAAUUGUGUUGCACAAAUAAGGGAAUACGUAGAAGCGGAGAGAUACAAUAGACCAAUUGAAUAGAGCAUGUUAUCUCCUGCAACCAGUACACCAAUAACCAAAUAGACCACGCUAACUGUGAUGAUUGAAGGUCGAUUCGAGGCUUCUGAAUGAGUUUGAGGAGAAGAAAUGACUAGGUAAGGAAUGAAAAGAAGAGGAAAAGCAGCUGUCUGGACAACAGUGGCCAUCCACUUACUAUUUCCACCCUUCUCAUAGUAAAAUCUUCCCAAAAUUACAGCAGUAGCUUGACCAACGAGAAGGAAAACAAUGUUGAGUGCCACCAGAAGCCAAAAGUGCAGACGGUUCAGCUUUGCCAUCGGAUGUUGUGCAUCAUCUUUUUGCAAAAUAGGUUGCUGAUUAUCUGCCAUGGUGGAAAAAGGGAAAAUUUGGUCAAGCGGCUACAACAGAAG
rnacentral:misc_RNA from 1 species